rnacentral:tRNA from 1 species
GGGGUCGUAGUUAAGCCUGGUUAUAACGCCGGCCUGUCACGCCGGAGGCCGCGGGUUCAAAUCCCGUCGACCCCGCCA